ensembl:lncRNA
AUGUAUUCUCUAUUUUUAACAGGAGCGCCAAGAGGACAUAAAGUGGAAGUUUGUAAGGGACAUUUGUCCAGCGUGGUACAGAGUCAUCGUGGGUUAUUCUGUGGGGAGGUGACAGGGCCUGCCGUUCUCCAGAUGGACAGUAAAAAUCAACAGAAUGCCAUCAAAGACUACCUGGAGGGAGAAUCGGAGGAUAUAUUAAAGCAAGGAAUCUCUCUGUGUAGUCUAUGUACGGGGAUGGGGAAAUCACAUGAGGGCUGCAGGGGCCACGGCCACCCCUGUAUAAACUCUGGCCACCCCUGUGGCCACCCCAGGAUGAUUUGCAGUGGCUACUAUUAAUUUAAAUCUAUUUUAAAUCUAUUAAUUUUAGAUCUAUAUAAUUUAUAUAUCAUUUAAUAUAGUUACUAUCACACGAAGAGUGACGUUUUUCUCCAGAAGUCUGCAUAAUUGCAAAUGUGACAUUGAUUUCAUACAACAGUUCAAUAAACAAGAAGUUAAUAUCAAGAGUUUUACGUUUUAGACAACAUAUUCACUUUUUGCGCUCUAUUUCUAAAAACAAAAAUCAUUCCAAACACAGCCACUGUUUUGCGUCUCUGAGCAACAUGAUAGUGUUUCGUUCCUGAAUGAAUCAACCGUUUAAAUGAUUCGGUUCAAUCGCAAUGACUCACUUAUUAACAGUGACUCGCUGCCACCUACUGGCUGUUUUAAUUUCACAUUUAAGGUACCAUUUCAUUUUUUAAACAAUUUCAAACAUCAGUUUUCAAUGUUUUAUGUUUAAAAUAUCAAAACAUUAUUUAUUAAUUUGUAACUCCAGGUUAAAGUAUUCCAUGUCCCUCAGAGCUCCAUUAAACAGUGUGUAAAAACAUCUAAAUGGCACUUCAGAUGCAGUGUCUGUUUUCUAUGCAUUGCAAAGAUCAAUUUUGUUGAUACUGAUUGCAUUUGCUUGGUAACAACCCAAAUGCAAGUGUCUGACUUAAAAGAUGGUGCACACUUUUAGAAAAAAAUGGCGUAAAGGUUAAAAAAAAAAAAGCCUCAGCUGUCAGCACACUUAGAAAUAAGAUAUCAGCACAAUGACACACACAGCAAAAUAUUGUCUAAUUUUCGUUAUCGAUAAAAUCCCAGAAAUCACAGAGAUAUCAUUUUUUUGUCAAUAUUGCAAACAGUUUAUUUAUUUAUUUAUUUAUUUAUUUUUUGAUGUGCCACCCCAAGAUUUACUGUGGCCUCAUCUGGCCACCCCUAUUAAAAUUUUCUGGGGGCGCCACUGGAGGGCUGCAUCCGAAAACUUAGUCAGGUGACUUGCUGCCUCGCUGCCGUAUCAGGCAAUGACUUUGCAGGCAGCGUUUUUGCAUGAAGGCACCUCACCAAAAUGAUUUUGGACAGGCUUCUGAGGCAUUGUAACGGUUAAAUUAUCUACAGCUAAAUAAAGAGAGCUUUGGGGAUAACUACGUGGAUAUUUCAUUCCUGCAAUAUCAAUUUCUCGCUAGAAAUUACAUCAAAAGUGGAAAACUUUGAUCAAAAACAAACAUUUACACACAAACUGACCACCGACCGCAACUUUCAGACGCCAUCUUUAUUUUUUGGCUUAACUGUCACGGAAUGGAACACACAGGAUUGUGGGAUAUCAAAGGCAGCGAAGGAUACAUCUAUGCUGCCUUCAAAAAUCAGCCAGAUGAAGGCAUCUCAGGAGACAGGAACUGAAGCUAACAUUGAAUUCGGACGUGCCUUGAUGCCUUCCUACCUUGGAAUGCGUCCUUAGAAGGCAGCAUUUUUCAGUUUUCGGAUGCAGCCGAGGUGAUGUAUUUGAUAUGGGCGUGGCUUUCGUUUAGGUCACACUUGGACGUGGGCGGGGUUGUGUCGGGGAUGGGCGUGACUUCUGACGUCACACUUGGAUGUGGGCGGAGUUGGAUGUCCACCGCAGGCUGCAGCGAGCCCUACUUGUCUAAAUCUCCUGUUAAGUUACACAAUAAAUGCCCACAAGGCGUGACGUCGAGUCAUUUAUUAACAUUUAUUACAUAAGGGAUUCAGUGUGUAAAAACUACAUUUAGUUAAUUGUUGACUGUGGCAAUUUAAUUGUCAGCGAUGGAGUGGAAAUUUGUUUUGAGGACCAUGUUAUAUCCAAACACUAUCUGUGGUGUGUAGUUACCAAACCUGUGUCUGUACAAGAGAUUCUCUGCAGGCCUCUUGACAGGGUUUUAAAGCGACUUGAGGGAUAACAUGCCAUUUAAUAUUUCCCUAUUAUCUAGAUUUUUUUUUUUUUUUUUUUUUAUAGUUAGACAAGAACAUGAUUUUGAUCUAAUUAGGACACAAUAAAAUUAUGUGAUGCAGUAAUAUGCAAUAUAGAUAUUCUGACCAAUCACAAACCUGAAAUGUAGCAAUGGACCUAAACGCGGCGCUGCUGUUCAAAUGAUAAUCCCAAACAAACAGCCACAGCGUCGAAAUGAUUAUUUUUAUUCUUAUUUUAGUUUAAUAAGUAACUUUUGUUUUAUAGUUUUAUGUUUAUUAGUACCUUAGAGUCUUCAUGUUUUGUUACAGAAGCCAUUUAACAGCGCUUGCGUGAGCCGGUCUGAGCCUCCGCCUCGUCUGACAGGACCAGCCGUACUACGGUGAACGCUUGAAACAACUGGCUCCUGAAAUAUUAAUUAGGUAAUGUCGUGGUCGAUCAUUACGCCUUUCUGAUUGGCUGAAAGGCAGGCGUUGGUAGGCGGGCCCAGUACAGCUGACGAAUAAACGAAGGUAAGUACUAUCUUAUAAAUAUUAAUUAGGUUACGUGCCUGCCCCCAAAUGAACGUACCCGAGAAACGUCAGCGCGAUCUAAUUAAUAUUCAUAAGCGAAACCGUCGCAAUAGUAGGAAUCAUAUUUUCAACAGCACAAUCAUGAAGCGGGAUGGUGGCAGCCGGUGGCUCUGUUGUGUCUUUGUUUGGCCCUGGUUACUGUCAUUAACCGAAGACUAAUUUAUUACGAGAAAAACAUGCGUUGUGAGAGGAGAAGCGCGAGCUGUGUGAUCGUGCAAGCGUUAAUGUAUUAAUAUUCGCGUAUUUUCUUGAAGGAGGAGCGGGAUACAUGACAGACACACAAUCCCUUCAGGACAUGUGAGUGUACCUACAUUAGACAGCCAUCUUGCUCUUUUAACAACGAUUGUUGCUUUUAUUUACUGCAUCAAACCCAAAUCAAACGUAUUAUGUCAUUAUGUUAAUGAGGCUUUGAUGCAUUAUUCAUAAGGAGUUUAUAUCUUUGACAUGGUGUGGUUCACACUUGCAGUGCUCUAAUUACAAUGUCUUACCCCUCAGGGUUGUUGAAAGCAUAAAUAUAAUAACAUGACAGUUUGUUUUCAGGCCUUUAUCCACCUCUACAAGCAAACACACACAAUGGAAAGAUAGCAGGUGCAUUUUUAUAACAAUAUUGUGUUUAUUCUGCAUCCAGCGCUUCUGGUCCACCUUGCUCUGAGAGCUUAAUAUAACCUUAUGAUAGUA